rnacentral:misc_RNA from 1 species
GAAAAAUUCGUGAGUCAGCCCCGCACCUGUCCGUAUUGUGGCUUUGCGGCUCCGAUGCGGACCUCGAAAGCCGUCCCUGUGUCUCGGGCAUAUCCUCUGACUCUUGUCGUGGUUGUCUCGGUCCACAGGACAACUGCUCGUGCUCCCGGAUGUGGAAAAUUAAGCGGACGUGGGGGGGGUCUCGGCCUCCGGCUGCUCCAUUCUAGUCCCUCGAUAAGAAUGACUCUCGCUACCCCAUCGAAGGCUUACGGCAUCGAUGCGGGUCCGAAGUCGAGAAAGAAUGCUA